rnacentral:siRNA from 1 species
AGCUUGUCCUUUGGGAAAGUUGUU